CCUACGGGUGGCUGCAGUGGGGAAUAUUGGACAAUGGGGGCAACCCUGAUCCAGCCAUGCCGCGUGUGUGAAGAAGGCCCUCGGGUUGUAAAGCACUUUCAGUGAGGAAGAACGCCUGGUGGUUAAUACCCAUCAGGAAAGACAUCACUCACAGAAGAAGCACCGGCUAACUCCGUGCCAGCAGCCGCGGUAAUACGGAGGGUGUGAGCGUUAAUCGGAAUUACUGGGCGUAAAGCGCGCGUAGGUGGCUUGAUAAGCCGGUUGUGAAAGCCCCGGGCUCAACCUGGGAACGGCAUCCGGAACUGUCAAGCUAGAGUGCAGGAGAGGAAGGUAGAAUUCCCGGUGUAGCGGUGAAAUGCGUAGAGAUCGGGAGGAAUACCAGUGGCGAAGGCGGCCUUCUGGACUGACACUGACACUGAGGUGCGAAAGCGUGGGUAGCAAACAGGAUUAGAUACCCUGGUAGUC
rnacentral:rRNA from 1 species